rnacentral:rRNA from 1 species
AGUGAACGCUGGCGGUAGGCCUAACACAUGCAAGUCGAACGGCAGCACAGUAAGAGCUUGCUCUUACGGGUGGCGAGUGGCGGACGGGUGAGGAAUACAUCGGAAUCUACUUUUUCGUGGGGGAUAACGUAGGGAAACUUACGCUAAUACCGCAUACGACCUACGGGUGAAAGCAGGGGAUCUUCGGACCUUUCGCGAUUGAAUGAGCCGAUGUCGGAUUAGCUAGUUGGCGGGGUAAAGGCCCACCAAGGCGACGAUCCGUAGCUGGUCUGAGAGGAUGAUCAGCAACACUGGAACUGAGACACGGUCCAGACUCCUACGGGAGGCAGCAGUGGGGAAUAUUGGACAAUGGGCGCAAGCCUGAUCCAGCCAUACCGCGUGGGUGAAGAAGGCCUUCGGGUUGUAAAGCCCUUUUGUUGGGAAAGAAAAGCAGCAGGUUAAUACCCCGCUGUUCUGACGGUACCCAAAGAAUAAGCACCGGCUAACUUCGUG